AGCCUCGUGGUCGAGUGGUAAGUAUACUUGCCUCUCAACCUGGUGUCCCGGGUUCGAUACUCGGUCGAGGAGCUA